UUUGGACAGAAAGACCCUAUGAAGCUUUACUGUAGCCUGGAAUUGGGUUCGGGCUUCGCUUGCGCAGGAUAGGUGGGAGGCUAUGAAGUAUUCCUUGUGGGGGAUAUAGAGCCACCGGUGAGAUACCACUCUGGCGAGGCUAGAAUUCUAACCCUUACCCGUGAGCCGGGAAGGGAACAGUUUCAGGUGGGCAGUUUGACUGGGGCGGUCGCCUCCUAAAUGAUAACGGAGGCGCGCAAAGGUUCCCUCAGGCUGGUUGGAAAUCAGCCAAAGAGUGUAAAGGCAUAAGGGAGCUUGACUGCGAGACCUACAAGUCGAGCAGGGACGAAAGUCGGCCUUAGUGAUCCGACGGCACUGUGUGAAGGGCCGCGCUCAACCGAAAAU
rnacentral:rRNA from 1 species